rnacentral:rRNA from 1 species
UACAGAGGGGGCAAGCGUUGUUCGGAAUUACUGGGCGUAAAGGGCGCGUAGGCGGCCUUCUAAGUCGAACGUGAAAUCCCCGGGCUCAACCCGGGAACUGCGUCCGAUACUGGAAGGCUUGAAUCCGGGAGAGGGAUGCGGAAUUCCAGGUGUAGCGGUGAAAUGCGUAGAUAUCUGGAGGAACACCGGUGGCGAAGGCGGCAUCCUGGACCGGCAUUGACGCUGAGGCGCGAAAGCCAGGGGAGCAAACCGG